rnacentral:ncRNA from 2 species
UUCAGGUGUUUCGCGUUCGGUGCUUUGCAGCGCUAAGCGCGAGAUGAAACGGGAAGCCGGUGCGCCUUUAACUAGGCAAGGCCGGCGCUGCCCCCGCAACGGUAAGCGAGUUUUUCGAAGAGUCCGUCGGACGAUUCGAGCGGAUCACAAGCCACUGCCCCACCGCACUGGUGGAGUGGGAAGGCGAUCCGCAGGCUGCCCCAGCCAAUCGCGAGCCCGGAGACCGGCCUGAAGUCCCAAGUUGAU